AUUGAACGCUGGCGGCAGGCCUAACACAUGCAAGUCGAACGCGUGGCGGACGGGUGAGAAAUGUCUGGGAAACUGCCCGAUGGAGGGGGAUAACUCCUGGAAACGGUAGCUAAUAUCGCAUACGCACGGAUGUUCCCAGAUGGGGUUAGCUUGUGGGGGAGGUAAAGGCUCACCUAGGGGACGAUCCCUCGCUGGUCUGAGAGGAUGACCAGCCACACUGGAACUGAGACACGGUCCAGACUCCUACGGGAGGCAGCAGUGGGGAAUAUUGCACAAUGGGCGCAAGCCUGAUGCAGCCAUGCCGCGUGUAUGAAGAAGGCCUUCGGGUUGUAAAGUACUUUCAGCUGGGAGGCGUUACCCGCAGAAGAAGCACCGGCUAACUCCGUGCCAGCAGCCGCGGUAAUUC
rnacentral:rRNA from 1 species